UACGGGGGGGGCAAGCGUUGUUCGGAAUUACUGGGCGUAAAGGGCUUGUAGGCGGCCAACUAAGUCCGACGUGAAAUCCCCAGGCUUAACCUGGGAACUGCGUCGGAUACUGGAUGGCUUGAAUUCGGGAGAGGGAUGCAGAAUUCCAGGUGUAGCGGUGAAAUGCGUAGAUAUCUGGAGGAAUACCGGUGGCGAAGGCUGCAUCCUGGACCGACAUUGACGCUGAGGAGCGAAAGCUAGGGGAGCAAACGGG
rnacentral:rRNA from 1 species